AGGAAAAGAAACUAACAAGGAUUCCCCUAGUAACGGCGAGUGAAGCGGGAAGAGCUCAAAUUUGAAAUCUGGUAGCCUUCGGUUGCCCGAGUUGUAAUCUAGAGAAGUGUUUUCCGUGCCGGCCCAUGUACAAGUCCCUUGGAACAGGGCGUCAUAGAGGGUGAGAAUCCCGUCCUUGACAUGGACCCCCGGUGCUUUGUGAUACACUUUCAACGAGUCGAGUUGUUUGGGAAUGCAGCUCAAAAUGGGUGGUGAAUUCCAUCUAAAGCUAAAUAUUGGCGAGAGACCGAUAGCGAACAAGUACCGUGAGGGAAAGAUGAAAAGCACUUUGGAAAGAGAGUUAAACAGUACGUGAAAUUGUUGAAAGGGAAACGAUUGAAGUCAGUCAUGCUCUUAGGAUUCAGCCGUUCUGCGGUGUAUUUCCUUUGAGUGGGGUCAACAUCAGUUUUGAUCGAUGGAUAAAGGCACGAGGAAGGUAGCACUCUCGGGUGAACUUAUAGCCUCGCGUCAUAUACAUUGAUUGGGACUGAGGAACGCAGCAUGCCUUUAUGGCCGGGAUUCGUCCACGUACAUGCUUAGG
rnacentral:rRNA from 1 species